rnacentral:rRNA from 1 species
GACGUAGGGCGCGAGCGUUGUCCGGAUUUAUUGGGCGUAAAGAGCGUGUAGGCGGCCAAGCAGGUCAGCUGUGAAAACUCGAGGCUCAACCUCGAGACGUCGGUUGAAACCGCUUGGCUAGAGUCCGGAAGAGGAGAGUGGAAUUCCCGGUGUGGCGGUGAAAUGCGCAGAUAUCGGGAAGAACACCCGUGGCGAAGGCGGCUCUCUGGGACGGUACUGACGCUGAGACGCGAAAGCGUGGGGAGCGAACAGG